rnacentral:rRNA from 1 species
GCCUAAGCACUACUACAGACCUUGUCCGCCAGAAAAUUACGAGCGAAAGCCUAAAACUCAAAAGACUUGACGGUGUCCCAACCUUCCUAGAGGAGCCUGUUUCAUAAUCGACAACCCACGAUAUACCUAACCCCCCUUAGAUUUUAAUUCAGCCUAUAUACCGCCGUCGUACAGCCUACCUUUUAAAAGAAUACAAGUAGGCCAAAUAGUAACACACUAGUAAGUCAGGUCAAGGUGUAGCUUAUAGGGCGGAGAAAAUGGGCUACAUUGUUUAUUUUAAACCACACGGACUUUAACCAGUUCCAUGAAAAAGAAAAUAAAGGCGGAUUUAGCAGUAAUUUAAACAAGAAUAUUUAAAUUAACACCAGCUCUGGGACAUGU